rnacentral:lncRNA from 1 species
UGCUGCUGGAGAGUGGUUGGUGAAGUACUUAAAUGCUUCAAUCUCUUUUUUAGGACUGAAAAUAGCUUUUUUCGGAUUUAAUCUUUGAGCUUGCAAAAACUUUAUGAUUUUUCAUUUGAAUAGAGCAUUUAUAGUUGCCAUUCACUCUUGAGAAUGUCUUAGAGUUGGUUUUAAGCCAUUGGAGUGCGUUUAAUGCUCAUUAAAUGCAUCAAAAAUAGAUUGAAAACUAGCCGUUACGCAUGCUCGC